AACUGUGCUUGUGGCAGUCAGGGGGUUCUGACCCACUCAUACUAAAAGAUGUAGUGGAGAACGAAAGAGGUCAUGGACUAAGCCUCUCCAUGAAAUGGAGAGCAACACUUGUGCUGCAGCAACCUUGUAAUGUGAAAGAUCAUCCUGAGACUUUGGGAGGAGUGCUGGACAAUGUGGGAAGAUCUCCAUCUUAACUCUGUAUGAGAGCAAGAGGGCAAAAAGAAUGAAAUGAAGCAGAAAAAGAAUCUCCUCUAACUCAGAAGUCACCUGAAUUGCAAGAGCUGCACUUCUGCUUUCACUCUGCCGUGGAUUUGCAUUGUCUGAUGCCAGAGACAGGAGUCCUGACACUCACCAGCCUGCCUUGGAGAAGAGUAGACAGUUUGUACCUCAGAAACCACUGGCCCUGAAAGAAUAGGAAUGUAGGAGUCAAGGGGAAAUAUCACAAGAGUGAUGGACUGUGAGGCUCCCAGGUUCCCUCUGCCAUUGCAGAGCUCUUCGACCUAUUGUAAUCGUCACCAGACAAAAUGAGUCUUUUUCCUUCCAGACAGAUUGGAGGCAAAGGACAGUGCUUUAGAGUCAAUGUUACAUUUAAGAAACAACAUGCAAUUCAAACCUUGUAAUUAUCAUGAUUUUUCAGACUGGCAGUGAAGAUGGGAGCAAGAAGGCAGCAGUGAACCUGGGAGAAAGGAGAGACUUUUUUUCAUUUUUUUCAGCUUCUAUUUCUUCCCCACUGACAAAAGAAAGAAAAUAAGGACUUUCAUGGAAAACUAAAUUAAGGUGAAGGCUGAUAUCUUAAUAGGCUCUGCCUAGAUCUGUGCAUCUCAAUUCUUGAUGGGCCUCCAGUUUGUUCCUGUACUGAUUGCUGUCCUCGGUGCUGCAGUUUUUUGAGGUGAUCCCUUCCUUGUCGUGUGAAGCUUUCCCAGCCUGAUUUUAAGUCUGGUCAGGUUCCUCCUGCUUCCUCCCAUUCUGGAAAGUCCUAGAUUCAAAGCCCUGAUGACUUCAGUUUAGAUCCAGGUUUAUCCAGGAAGAAAGGCAAACAAAAGUGAAGGAAUAAAUACAAAUACCAAAACAGCUCCAGAUGAAAGGCAGUAAAAUAACUGCCUGCUGCUCCCUCUUGAAAGGCUGGCAGCAACUCGGAGCAUCUUCCUGUGUUCCUAGUGCAAAGGAUUGGCUUCCAUCAGUAAUGUGUCCAUCUGAAUCUCUCUAACUCCUCCAGGUCCAACCAGAAGAUGUGGGAGCAAUUGCAGUAGGUUCCUCAGAAGCUUCACAGACGGAAUGAGAAAACUAAGCCAGAACAAACCAGCCCUUGCAAGGUUUGAAGAAACAGCAGUGUCAGAUUUGGGGACAGAAUGGAAAAACUAUGUUUUCACAUCUUCUGACAUGCCCUGGGUACAUCUCAUACAUAAGUGCUUGUGAUGGGAGUCUCCCUUCUUGAAAAAGUAAGCCAGAGAUGAACUUAUUGAAGAAAGUUCUGUUCCACUCCCUACUAGUCCCUAGGGAAAAAGAAACGGACCAGUAACUGAACACUUUUUCCUUCCUGGCAAUUUAGUUUGCUGAACACUUACCCAUUUCUUCAGGAGAAAAUUUCUACUCUGUGCUCUGACAUUAAUAACUCAUUUUUCAAGUUAUGUAAUAAGUUUUUGAUCAUUAUGCAUUCAUCUGCAGAUAAUUUGUAUGUCAUAUCCACUACAAGGAACAGUAAAGAAUCAGUAAAGCAAAACAAGUAAAGCAAAACAGUAAAGCAAAACAGCAAAGCAAACGAGUCAACCAUCCAACCAACAUCUUUCUCUCUGUGCUUUAUCUAUUUGUAUGUAAUUGACUUGCAGUUGGUUGAUUUCUCAAAUCAGAUUUGUAAGACUGAUUUGCAAUUAGUAACAUCUCUAUUUAGAUAUAUAUAUAUUUUUAAUUCUGAUUUCCAUCUUUCUGUAACUCACUUAUGUCAUUGUCAAUGUUGGACAUUCUUCAGAUGACAAGCGCUAUCAGACAAACAACAUUUUUCCUUCAUUUUUGGAUUUUUUUUUAAAUGUAUAGUUAUUUCUGACUGCCACGAAUCUAAUACUCAAAGAACUAAUUAUGUAAAAUCAGAUUUUGACCAAAGUAGCUUAUCUAGCCACUGAAUAACAACAACAAAUAGCCAGAACUUCACAAAGCUGCAGUGCAGACAGCUAAACUCCUUUGGAAAUGUGCUUUCUAUGCAGUCAUAUGCUGGCAAAGAUGUCAGACUAAUUGCUGUGACUUUCCAUUAUGCAGCCCAAGAAUCCCUUUCUCAGCAUUCCCAAGCAAUAUCUCAUUGAUCGGGCCAGUUCAGAGAGUGAGUAAUCUACAAAAACGGCUUCUUCUUCCUGCUGAGAAUUCAGCAGAAAUGCUGUUUACAUCAUAGACUUUUCUAGCGAGGAUGUCUUUUUUCUACAAGUUUGACUAGAGCCGUGCAAACUGGUUUUGCAACUGUCUCUGGCUCCUAGUGUUUGUAACACUGAGCUGGUUAAAAGUGGUCAUAAAACAAUACAAAGUGAAGGUGAAAGAUGUGGCAUUAUAUUGCUACUUCUCAAGUUAUUCUGUCUGUGUUUAUUUUCAACAUGGAGAAAAAAAAUCUUUCAGAACAUUUCAUCAAGUGCUGCUAGUUAAACUGAAGUGAAGGCACUUGGUUCAUUGGUAGUAGCUGGAAAGGCAGCAUGUCAUUUCACACUCUGCCCCAGCCUUUAGAAAGUCAGAAAAGCCUUUAAUAUCACAUUCCCUGGGCCUACAUUACCCUCCUCCACAGCUUUCCGAAGGAUUUUCUCCAAAUAUCUCCAAGAAAUUAACCCCAUACCUCUCUGCUUUAGCUGCCUUCAAUCUCACUUUGGAAGCAGUGGUGGGAUAAAGGUGCUGACUGGUCAGACCUGUGGUUGAGUGAGUGAGUAAAAAAGCAAAGUCUAUGUUUCUGAGCCCAUAGUUUGAGAGAGAAGUGGAGACAGAAGCAUGUGGAGCCUCAGCACGGACAGGGGCAGAGCUCAGGCUUGCACCUGCAUUAAAUUUGUACCAUCUAAACACAGCAGACUGUUGUCUGGACAGAGUCAUAGUCAUUGGAAUCCCACAGGAAACUUAUAUCCAUUAAUCAGGAAAAACGCUGGCAGAAGGCAACCACAGGCCAAGAUGAAACUUCUGUAUACCAGAGGUCAUUUUUAUAGUGUGCUCUGUGGUGAUGGGCUUGCUGUGUUUGAGUCACAAGGAAAUUGCUGCUGGGCAAGCCCUCAGCCUGCUGUUCUCAGGUGCUGCUGCCUGCUCAUCCGAGUACUUGACCUCACACAAAGCAAGUACAGAUCUUUCUGGAGAGCUACUGUCCUCUGAAUGCAAUCUUUUGUGCCACAGGAGCCAGAUGGGGCAAGGCAAAGUAGAGCCUGAGAUCACAGUGGUAGGUGGAUAGCUUUGGCAUUUGUGGUAUUAGUCCUGAAUGUCACCAUAAGAACAAUCCAACAGGGCAGUAUUAUAUGUAUACAUUAUAUUUUUCCCUUUUGAAACUGAAAUUUGAAUCAGAAACAGUUCUACCUUAAGCAAGGAACAAAGACACAUCAGGGACAUCCAAGAGUACCUCUCUAGAGUUAGUUAAGAUUUAGGGUACAGCUGUUACCUCAGUGGCUCUCAGAGAAGAAAAACUUAUUUCUGCUCAAAAUUCUUGCCUGACAGAGAUUAUGAGACACUGCCAAGAAAUCCAGACUGGUUUGACACCCAUUAGAACACAGAAAUACAUCCUCCAAUCUGAGCAGCGUGAGCAGAAACAAGGAGAAGAGAUACACACCCACACAAGCACCACAGUGUUGAACUGUGCCUUGUGCUGUGGUGUUCUAAAGAAAUCCCUGCAGAGUAGCUAAAGUUUUUGCAAAAAUACUCUUAGCAAUACAUCGCUGGUAAAGAGCUUUCUGUGAUAUAUAAGGUCUGAGAGGCUGCAGCUCUGUGGCCAUAAUUCACUACUUUUUCUUGAAAAUAAAUCUUGCUCCAAGUAGCAUGAAAUGAAGGUAGGGAAAGGCAGGGAGAGUGGAGAUAUUUCAAAGAAAAUCAAAGGAAUAAUUGCUGUUCAGGACCAAUUUUGUCUUAAUUCAGCCUGUACAUUUUACAGGUGCAUGCUCAGCCCUCCUUCACCUGUCCUGUUAAGUCACAAGACCUAAGAUUUCUUGCAGAUCAGAUAAUACUGAUACUGAAAAAAGACCCUGCAAAAGGACAGCCUGUACACAGUAGUCAUUGUGUUGAUACAGAAGACAUGAAUUUGGUUCUUUUUUCUGGAAGGGAAUCUUUGGGUAACAGCAGAACAAGAAAGGUGAGAAGAGUAUACAGAUAAUAAAAGUCAUUGUUCUGAGUGAGUGCAUGUGAUAGAUAUUGAACACUUCAUUCACCCUUCUCAGAGUAAGCACUUGGGGACAUUUGAAAUACCCUGGAGUAUCCAAAAUGUUCACAGAGAGUUGGAAGAUAUCGUACAGAACCUGAGGGAUGCCCUGGAGCAGCUGCUGGAAUCCAGGCAGAGUACCAUAGGGCAUCCCAGAUGACUUCAGAUGACUGAAGUGAGACAAAUGAACAGAGCCCUGGAACCUUGCUUUAUCAAGCUGGUUUGGAGGCCUGUAUGCAAUAAAUUGAUAUAUGCUAUUUUACCUACCCAUUCUCUCUCUCUCUCUCUCUCUCUCUCUCUCUUUUUUUUUUUUUUUUCCUAAAAAAAAAAGCCCUUUACCACCUUCAAAUUGAAACGAUAUACAAGAUGUAUAAUAAUAGGUAAUAUCUAAAGUGAGAGCUGAUCUUGCAAGUGGUAGCCCUCUCAUUUUAUAUGGCCACAUGGAAAACAAAGGUAGUUUGCAGGGGUAAGCUCACUUUUUCUGUAGGACUGCUACAGCUUAGAUCCAGGGUAGAAGGGCACCAGAGAGGUAAUGUUGUCUGAGCAGCAGUGGUGAGUACUAUCUUUGUGCUACGAAUUCACACGGAAAACUAUGAAGCUAUUGAUAGGCGUACAGAAGAUGUAAAUCUUCAAUUUGCCCACAAAUCGAACAAAAGAAAAGGGUUCUGGCCCAAACACUGGGUUAGGAUUAUAUACGCACACACACACACUCACACACACACACACACACACACAAAACAGUGGAUCUAUUUCUUAAUCAUAAAAGCAAAAGUGGAGAACAAUCAUUCAAACUUGCCAUCACCUCUGUUAUUGAAUAAUCUUAUAUCUAAGCUCAACAAGACUAGCAAAAAAAUCUUUUUGUAUAAAAUGCAGAUGCCAUUUUACAUACUUACAUACAUGAAAGACAGGAAAUUAAGGAUGAAUAAUCUUUGAGAGGAAGAAAUGAGGAGAGAAAAGGAGUUAAGAAUCCACAUAUAGCUCCAAGGAAAGCUGACAGGAGCAAUUAGAUACAAAAUUUAACAUACUUUUUUAGCUCAAGGAUAUCUCCUAUAAAUAUAAGUUAAGAUGCAGAUUGUCCCCAGGGGCUGAUUUCCAAACCAUGUGGGUUAAGAAAAUGCCUAACAGCUUGUCAGCUGGAAACAGGUGAAGAGAUCAAUCUUUAGAUUUAAUCUCAGAAUAAGUAGAUUAAAUAUAGUUUUCUUUCUGUUCUCUUACAUAUUUAUAAAUCUUCAUAGUGUUUAUUUUUUGAUUUUAUAAGUAGAUAUAUUCUUUAUUUGCUUUUGCCUUUACCUCCCUUGAGAUGAGGAUGACUUCAAGGCAACUGCAUAGUGCUAUUGUGCUCUGCAUCAAGAGAUAAUGUGAGCCAUAUAGACUCAUUCCUUACCCAACCUCUGAGUACACAGUACCCCAGUGGAAGAGUUUCAAUGUCAAUGAUUUAGUGGAGUUUUUCACCAUAGGUUUCCUCAUCUUGGUUUAAGAGUGAUUAUGGAGAAAGCAACAUGGCAGCCAUACUACCACUACUAGCCCAGAAGAUUGCUUGGUACAUGCUUGGUUAAUGGGAAAAUUCCAUGAUCUUAUGAGCUGCUGUGAGAGCUUGCAACAUAGCUCAUCAUGGAACUCACUCAACACAGGGAGGGAACAUGUAGUUUUAAACUGCCUCAGACCUUUCAUCUGAUUCUCCUCCUUUAAUAUAUACACCUAAAUUUUCUGUACAGUCUCCAGCAAGGGCAGCUUGCUGCUGUGAAAUCUUCUGGAUGAGAGUAUGGGCUUGUUUCUCCUGGGCCUCCUACCUUUUAACCUGGUGUAACACUGAUCUUCAACAGCAGGCAAAGUCCCCUGUCUGUUCAUCCACCUCUUGGGCUGUGGAGGACUUCUAUGUGUCCCUUGGUGUCAGACAGAGAGCCUUAAAUUGCCAUUGCAAGCAGACCCAUCAAACAGACCAUGCUGGCAUCAUUACAGUAUUCAUCAUCUGUGCGCCACAGAGACAAAUGCUUUCCCAGAGCCAGGGCUAUGGGAGUCAACACUGCAAACAGUAAAGUAUUCUCUCUUUCCUUGCCAGAUACUCCUUGCAGGAUGGCAGGAGAUCAUGGGACCAGAAUUGAUUUUACAUUUUUCCUGCCUGUGAACAUUAUGUAAACCUUUGAAAUCAUACACAAAUGUUUCCUAACAAUAUAUUAAUAAUCUGUACAUGUAGUUUAUUGCCAGAGAAAGUCAUCCAACCAAUGCAGGGAUUGGAACUUAAAAGGGAUGAAUGCUUUUAUGGUCACUGACAAUAUUUGUAUUUUUAUUAACCCAAUAAAGGAGAGGUUGAAUCUCAUGGGCACAGGGUCAGGAAGGGUGCUGGCCUUUCCUUCAUAGCACAAUGUAACCUGCCAAAUGCAUUAGAUUGCUUCCCAACUGCUCCAAGACUGUGUGACAGAAGUUACUGGGUCACUGUGAAAUUCGGUGCAGUCCCAUAACGUUACUUAGUGCUGAUUCUUUAGUGAUAAAAAUAAGAUAAAUUCUUUCUCGCAUUGCAUGUUGAUGAGCAGAAUUUAAAAUAGCUCACUUCUAUUUUUCAUCUGGUGGCAAAAAGGUAGCAGCUGUAAUGAAGUGUGGUUAGAGUUUAAGUAUUUUUUUGACCCUUUAAAUGAAUACCUUAACUCUACAGCUUUUAACCUUUCUAAACUGUUAAUGGAAGGCAUUCUUUCCCGUUAGGUAACUAAUAUGUGUGAAUCAUCCCAGGAUAAAAACAUGACACAGGCUAGACACUUCAGUAAACUAAAUCUCCUCAUGUGAAUCCAUUUGUAGAUUCACAGCCGGAAGCUUGAGAUAUAAUAUUAUGUAAAUGAGAAAAUAUCAUAAGUGAUUUCGUAUGAUGAUAUUUUCAGCAUCCUUCUUAGAAAUUCCGUACCAACAUACAGUAUUUAGGCAUGCAGCAUACAGUAUUUAGGAGUGCAUUAUUUAAUUUUUUUUCUGUUAUUUUAAUUCCUGAAAUAUUGCACGGUAGACAAGAGCACCACAGUAGUUCAUUUCCCACAACCCACACCUCUUUUUUUCCUUCUUUUUCAUGGUUUUAGAAAAAAAAUGCACUGACUGUCAUAUCUGGUGUUCUACAUAUCUUUGUGGUUAGUUAAGGGAGACUUCAAGCUGCAUCAUGCAUGAAAUUACUUAGGAAAACCUAUUCCACAACUUCUGAGAACCUUUGUACCUUUAAGACAGGAUUAAUCUUUCUUAUUUUUGCCUCUAAACAGUAAGUGUCGCUGCAUCCUGGUCACAAGCAGAUAGUGACUCUCUCAGAUGCUGUCUUAGAACGGGAUGAAUUACCUGUGGGCACGGCAAUAUCUCUCCACCACUUUAGAGACUAUAGAAGAAGUCUAAGAUCAUUUGAUGCAUAAUAAAGACUCAUCCUGGAAGAAAGCUCAGCUAAUUUCUCAAAAACACAAGUGGGCUUUCAGCAGAAUGAAGCAUGUGACACAACUGCAGAAGGCAAAGUGACCCAUGGCAAAGAACCUUUAAAUCAAGGCUUUUUUUCUACCAGCUCAUAUUUUUCAACUUCUUCAAAGACUCAGUCAAAGGAACCAGGUGAAAGAGGAGCAAAGCUCUGAAGAAGUGAAAUCCUUAAUCAAUGCAGUAUUUUCAAAGGAGAGUUGUAACACAGAAGGAACUGGAAAUUUGCCAACAAAGGAGGCAUCUGAAAGAGAAGAUAAAUAUUUAGCCAUUGAGAUCUGUUAAAGUACAAAACAUCAUCUAUUAUUCAGAUUCAAAAUUAUGUUAUUUAAAUAUUGUCACAGCUGUCAUACAAACAGGACUAUGAAAGCAAAUUACAAGUACAGGGCUAUGACAAGAGGAAAAUUAUUCCUGGUCAGAAACAGGAUCUCUUUACUCUGAUGAGGUCAAAAGCAGUUUAGCUGAAGAGGGAACAGAAUCAUUUUCAGCACUGUUAGAAAAAGCACAUGGACAAGGAGUUGGUUCAACAUAAUGUCAGGAUUUCUUUGCCAGCUCUGGAAAGUGUUUUGCCUUGUCUUGAAGAACUAUUUCAUUUCCUCCCAAAAUGCAAGAGCUUCAGAAACCGUCAAGCAUCUUAAGAAGGUACACAAAACUUAAAGCUGACACUCAAGUACCAAGAGAACUGUACGCAACAGCAAGGGCAACUGGAAGUCAUGUAGAGUGCCUCUCAGUCUAUAAUUGCCAAAGGAGUGCUGCCACUGAACAGAUACAUUAUUGGAGCAAGGAGGAGCCCAGGGAGAGGCGAAGAGAGCAAGAAAAAUCUGACAAGCAGAGGAACAACGAGAACAGACAAGGAGAAAAACCUGUCAGUGGAAACCUAAUCCAACUCCAAGGAAUAUACAGCACUGCUCAAAGCAGAAUCUACAUGAUGACAAGGUCAUUUUCAUCUCAUCAGCUAUGAAGCGCAGCCUGGCACCUUCCUCCCCCAUCUCUUUCCCCACAGAGAUACAGAAGGAGAGAAUGAGUUGAAUGACAGGUGAUCAAGGUGCUGCGCUGAGUAAACAGCUGCUGGCAAUGCAAGGUUUAAAGAGCUGACAGAGCGGAUAGGUGUUGAGCUAUGCUGUUAAAAUGGAUUUAUCUUCACAAAGGAAGGACUUACCAAGAUAAGAGUGUUUAAGCACCAGCUAAUGCUCAGGAAAAGCAGGUACUGGAGGAUCAUGACCUUGUCAGUGAGGCCACUGUCCCUCUGGUAAUGCUCCCCCUGCUGCUGGCUCGUGCUUGACAGCCUACAGAACAGCCUGCUCCUGCCUGACAUGAACUACACUGAAAGUGCAGAGAUGAUCUUAAGAAAAAGACUCUCACAAAUACUCAAAACUUAGGUGGUAAAAACAAAACACAUUUGGUAAACCAUUUUUCAGUGAAACAUAUACUCUACUGCAGCUCUGCAACCACAUAUUCUUGAUGUACCCAGUCAAGGACUCAGGACUUUUGCAGGCUAUGCUCUCCCCUAGAAAUCUUUGAACCUCUUACUUUCCCACUGUAUGCCUACAACCGUGUUCUUGUCAUAUAUGACCAUAAACCAUUAAUGCAUAACC